UGUACCUUAAAUAAAAAUGCCUUUCUCUCUGAAAGAUGGAGGUGGAAAGCAUUGCUGAAUUAGGAGAGAACACCUGAAGCUACUAGGCAUAAAUGGGGAGCAACUGCUGAAUAAUAGGCUCUUUCUAGAAGGCCUUGUGGGCUAUAUGCCAUGAAGAGGGUUUAUGAGUAAGGACUUAAAGAGAGGGAACACAUUCAUAGCAUACUAUAGCCAAUUAAGUUAGUAGAAUGGCCAAAGUAAGGUAAGUUUCCCUAGGACCUUGUUAUGGAAACCUCCUUAAAUGGAAAUCACAUGUAUUACUCAGUGAAAGCUCCUUAAAUAGAGGUCUCUUGGUCCCUGUGACCUGCUUGGGCUGACUUCCCGCCACCUCCAACUGGGGGAGGGUUAGCCAUUGUAGUAAUAGCUUGUAUUUAUGUAUAUCUUCAUUUCUUCUAAUACAAGAAAGAAACUUUUAGUAUAUCGAGGGCCUAACCUGCCUCUGCUAUACACAGAUGCCUCAAAUUUAGGCAACAAGCAAGAUGAACUGUAGGUCCUAAAGCAGAGGGGCAAAUUUGACCUCAGAGCUGUCACUAAUACCUAAAGAACCACGUUAUUCCAUGGCAUUCAUAUGUGAGGGAGUGUAAUAAGGGCAACUCACACCUCCAAUACUGAAAAGCUGCCUGGGUCUUCUGUGAUAAUGAUGCUUUUUUCUGCCAAGUGUUGCUUUCUGUUGUUCCAUAAUAGGGGGCUUCCUAUUUCAGCUGGUCAUUAACAUUGGCUAUUUUCUGGGUCACCCAGUACCCUCUAAUAACUUCCAUUAAUGCUGUGUUUAGAGCUCUUUCAUACACCUCCAUCAUCCCUAGGCCUUGGAAUUGGGAAUGCUGUGGUUAAUAAUUCUCACCCCUGCUAAGAAGAGGCUAUAGCUCUUUGCUCUUUCAGCUUUCUCUUGCCCCUCGACUAUAGUCCUUUGUGGAGGUACUAUCUCACAAGCCACCUGCAGCUCUAAUAUGGGUUUACUGGAGGUGCUGUGGUUAGUAAGCAGGAGGGUUACCAUUAUCUUCAAUUAGCAUUAUCAGCCAAUAUAUAAGGUUUCUGCAGUCUUCUCAUCACACUCCUCUCAACCAAUGACUGAGAUCAGAUUUAGCUUGAGAACUCUUAAAUUGCUUCUCUUCUGAAUUAUUCUGGUAACUACUAAAUGUUAAACUUCUCUCCAAACUUAACUGCUUUGCCUGGAGCUCUCAGUUCAACUAUGAUUUAACUUUUGGUUAGAAACUCAUUUUAGUUCUUAAGUCUUAUUUAUAAUCCCUGGUUGAGGUAAAUCUCUCCAAGGCUCUAUUUCCUUAAAUGAAAAAAAAAAAUUGAGAGACACUGUGGAAAGGAAACUGCUUGAACUAUUCUUUAUUUUUUGUUUUCUGUUUUUGUAAAAUAUCAGUGGCUAUGUUGGCUUUCUCUUUCAUUUUUAUUACUAAGGUAUUCUUAUGUGCAAAUAUCUAGGAAUCAGAGAGAAAGCAUGGUGGAUAGGAAACAGUAUAUAACUUCUGGACUUGCCUUAAUGAUAAAUUUUAUCCUUCAUAAGGUGGAGGAAAUACUAAUCAUGAUGGUGCUUGUAAUCCCUGCUACCAGGGAGACUGAGACUGGUGGAUCAUUUGAGCUCGAGAGUUCUGAACUACAGUGGGAUAUGCACACUAGGUCCAGGAUCAGUAUGGGGAAGUCAACCCAGGAGAGAUAGGAAACUCUCACGAAUGAAAUUCUGAAGAGACAAAGGAAACAAUUCUGAUGAGGUAAAAAUGGACCUUGUCUGAAGAGAUUGAUGUGGGCACACUGAGAACUCACCAACUUAGACUUGAAAGAAAUACAUACAGAAGAUGAAGACAACAAGUUGCAGAGAAUGAAUACAACAGUGUAACAGCAGUAGUGUCAGGGGAAUGAAAGUAAUAUUGUAGAAGGCAGAUGAAGUAACUGGUAACAGAGAAAACAGCUGCUCAAUUUUAAUUUUGCUUCUAUUUUCUCUGCCAAGGACAGUGAUCUUUGGAAUGGAAAAUUGGCUUAUAGGGACUUGAUACCCAGGGUAAGUAAGGAUGUAGUAAGAUAGUGCCUAUUCAACGUGUGAUGAAUGCAAAUUACUUGGCCCAACUGAACUACAUCCUUGAAUACUUAAAGGACUUCUGGAUGUGAUUUCUAAGCCAUUUGUUAGUGUUAUUCAAAAGAUCAUGGAGUCCAGGAAAGAUGCUGCAAGAAUAGAGAUGGGCUAAAUGCCCUAAUUUUCAAAAGGAAGAGAAAAGAGUCUUUAAACUGGAUCAGUGAGCUUGACUUAGAUUUCCAACAGAAUUCUAAACAUGUUAGCAAAGAUAUCAUUACUGAAAAGAACAUUUAGAGAAAAGAAGUGGUGAUCACAAAGAGACUUCAAGAGCAAACUUAAUUUUUUUUUAAAGGCUUAUGUUGGUAGAUCAGGGGAAUACUGUAAAAUAUACUUUACCUAGAUUAUAUAGCAAAGCAUUUGAUUGUCAUGUUAUUUUAAUGGAAAAGAUGGAGAGAUGUGAAUUAAUAACUUCAAAAGGAUAAUAGUGCCUCUUCUUGGCAGAGAGAUAGUGGACUAGAAAUGUGGAAUGAGAUUUUCAGCCACUGCCAAUUUGUUGAUGUUUUAUUUGACUCUUCUUAUGUGUUACAAGGGAAGGUUCUCUUGCAGUCAGUGAGAAGUGGUAGUGAUAUUAAGAGAAUGACAGUGAAAUUUUAAAAAGUGACUUGUUGAUGAUAAAUUUAGAUGAAUUCAGAAUUAGCUCAAUGGUGGGAUUUAGAGCAAUCAUUAAUCGUUCAAUGGCAGGUUUUCAAUAAAGCCUCAGGGGUCUGUGAUUGGCCCUGUGCUGGUAGACUUUAUAUCAAUGACUUGGGUAAAUUAGUGUAGAAGAUGCAUUUUAUCAAAUAUGCACUCAACACAAAACAGGAAAGGAUAGCUAAUGUAGAGAUAAAGCUGGAUGAGAAUGUAAGGCCCCUUAUUAAGAAAAAAUGUAUUUUAUUACUAAAGGUAGAUAGAAGAAGUAAAAAAUCUGGUCCUCCUAUUUAGUAGAAUAGUUAAUAUGUCCUAACUAUAGCCAAUAUCUUUUUCCCUGCAUGCCAGUCACCAUGCCUCUAGAGUAGGACUAGGUUUUUUUUAUACAAUAUUUCAUAAAUACAACACAACUUCAUGUUGUUAAGCCCACACAUGAAAUUUUAUUGCAGACAAAUUUCCAAAAUUUAUCUUAGUAGAGCUUGUGUCUCAUUUCCCAUCAGGAUGCUUCUCUUCUUUCCCCCUUUGUGUUGCAUGACUCGAAAGGAAAAUGCUAUUAUACCUUAGAUAGAUUUACUGUGAGAAAUGGCAAUAUUAAACGUAUUAUUGAACCUCCUCCCAAGCAGAUGUCUACUGCUUGGGUAAAAGAGCCAGGGGCCACCAGCAACUGUAGUGUUAAUAUUUGAAUUUACCCAUUUAAUCUUCCCAAGGAAACCUGUGGGGUAAGUUUAGUCUGAACUUUCCAAGGAAGCCUUUGUGAAAACCUCAUCUAUUUCUUCACCCAGAUACUACUCUUACCUAUAGGAAAAGAAGAUAAAGUCAUUUCUUGGUGCAAAUGGUGGCCAUAUUCAGCAAUUAGUGAUGCAAUUGACAAUCUCUGGUUGAUUGACAAGUGAAGAUCGCCUCAGAUCUUUGACUUCACACUCUGAUGUCCUGCAACCCCCAGGAAUGUGCUACUAAAUGUUUCCUAACAACUGACUCUCCAGAAAACAAAAUAUAUGCGUAUCACAC